UUGGAAUCAUAGAGAAUAAAAAUAUUGUAAUGAGUAACCAAAAUUAUUUUUUUUUAAUGCAAAGGAAUCCCAAACACUACAAGACAUCGUGGAGCAACCAGCAGAUACAUCAGCCAUCAGUAUAUUGAAGAAUCAUUACCCUAAAAUAACUGUAACCUUAAAAAAAAUGUUCCCAGCAUCAGGAGAGAGGAAAAGCCCUGACUGGAAAAUGGAAGAACUUUCCAAAAGGGGAAAGACUCUGAAAGCCGACAUCAGGUCCAGUCAGGUAAAAAGAACAUCCUUGUUUCAUCUGAAGUUAAAAGGAGUCCAAAGCCAGCGACAGGAUCCCCUCUCUUGGCUGGCUAAACAGAUUGAAGUGGUGAGCAUCAGCUUGACUUCCAGAGAUGAUCAGAUUGUCCUAACAAUGGGAAGGAAUCAGAAAGCUUUAGUCAGCAUGGAACUUGCUACCAGAA
rnacentral:lncRNA from 1 species